ACACAGAUACCACCCCAGGAGGGUGAGAGGGAAGUUUUUUUUUUUUUAAUAUAUAUAUAUCUAUAUCUCAUGAUUGAAAAACUAUGAUGCACCCCCAUUGUUGACUUCCAGCGUCUUCCAGCCCAUGCAGGGCCUUUACCCGCUGGAGGAUCAGAGGAGGAGCACUGAAAAAAAUAACUCAUAAGAUUUAUUUAUAUAUAAAAUAUAUUGUAAGUAUUUGCACGCAAAUGAUUCAAGUAAAAUUUAAUGCUGCAAUAUCAAGUAACACUAACUUGCCAGUAUCAAGUAAAUUUUACUUACCAUAAAACAUAACAGUUGUGAAGAUAUUAAGAAACAUUUACUUAAUUACAUUACAAGUUUUAAGUUAUAUCUAUUUAAACAAAUUAAGUAAAGUCUACUUGCUUUUCAUAGGCAAGAACAUAAUUUUCCUCAAAAUUUUAAGUAACUUUUAUAUAUCUGUUAUGACGUAAUUUAGUAGAUUUUAAUUAUUUUCUUGUGCUUGACAUUUUAAUUUACUUGGUUGCAUUACGUUACAUUACUCACUAAAAUUAGGUAAUCAUUGCCAGUUUUCUUUUGAUAAAUGUUACCAAAUAAAUUUAACCAAUACUCUAUGCAUUUAAUAUAUAUUUAUCACAUAUCACACAACUAAAUUACAAUGCAAUUAAACUGUUUAUUUUUCAUUUAAAACACACAAACAUGCUCUAAACAACUUCAGGGAGAGGGUCAGGAUAGAAACAACUGAAAGUGUAGAAUAAUGAAACACAGGAACACACACGUCAACAGUGCAGGCAUGCAGCUGGAGAGAUGGGCGGAGCAACUGCAGCCAAACCAGUGGUGUAAGGACAUGGAUCUGGUAACAAUUAAAAUCUUACAAACCUACACUCUGAAACAGUGCAAUUUCAACAUUUAAACCAGUCCUCUAGACUAGUGCACUUUUAAGAAUGCAAUUAAAACAUUAAUAAAAUCAACAGAAUAAAUUAAAAAUGAACAGCUUAAGGUGUCUAACCAUUCUAGAUGAAGAAUAAAAUCUUUACUCUAAUUAAUAGUUACCUUAUUUGACAAAAAAUGAAAAACAUUUAUGACAGGCAACUUCCCACUAGUAAACCAAGAUGAACUGGAAUUCAGUGCUAAUUCUUGGCAUUUCUUCACAAGGGUCCAUGCAUGAUGCCACAUUUUUCUCCUCUAGGAUGACAAAGUAAUGAGAUGCAUUUAGGAAAGCAACUUCAACUUCAAGGUGUUUACUUUUGGGGACAGUUUAAAGCCAUCCAGCUCCAGCAAGAGUUUUUGUAGCGCACAGUGGGAGGGUAUGCCAAGUUAAGGGCAUAAAUCAGUCCCCUGAGCAGUGAGAAAGCUUUCGCAGUACUGUUGCACCCUGGCAAAA
rnacentral:lncRNA from 15 species